rnacentral:misc_RNA from 1 species
GAUUGAUUAAUAAGAUCGUUUCAAAUUUUGUCCGCCUUUAAUCUGACAAAUGGCGGAUUUGUGUGUGUCACUGUUGACGACGCGUAAGCAUACAGUAGUUACAACAGUAGUUAGUCUCUCUCAACGUGGUUCGUAACAAUGGAUAGAAUAAUUAAAGGUAUUAUGAAAUAUAGGCAGUGUCAUAGAGAAGGAAUGGUGAAACAAUUUCAAAAAGUUAGAGAUCAUCCCGAGCCUAAAGCAGUAUUCUUUACCUGCAUGGACUCUCGGAUGAUACCAACUAGAUUUACGGAAACAAAUGUUGGGGACAUGUUUGUCGGUACGAGACUUCAUUAUGACACUAACACACGCAAUGUCUACUAUCUGACUAUUUCUAUAUGAAGAAUCUGGAAUUUCUAAUGCAUUAUGGUGUAUCGGAGACUGCCUAUAAGUAAGAAAUGCUGGAAAUUUGAUUCCACAUUCUCAACAUUUUGCGGAUGAACUCACUAUGUGCGAGCCAGCUGCUUUGGAACUUGGUUGCGUA